UAUUGUCUGCGGUCGGUUAUUUGAAACCAUUCCUUUUAUAAGUCAAAUGAGCGUCAAAAUAAAAUGCAUGACAAUUCAUUUUGAUGCAUUGGUGCAUCUCAUUUCAAUUACGCUAAUUGAGCGUAAGACAACCAGACAAGGUUACUAAACGUUUUAUUUGACCUUUAUUUUACCAAGCUAUCCCAUUUUUCAAGGGAGAACAUGGGACAGAAAAAUCUAACAGAAAAUAAGAAAAAUAUACAAAAAAGCUAAAUAACCCUAUAGAGAGGAGAAACAGGUCUCCUAAAUAACCCUAUAGAGAGGAGAAACAGGUCUCCUAAAUAACCCUAUAGAGAGGAGAAACAGGUCUCCUAAAUAACCCUAUAGAGAGGAGAAACAGGUCUCCUAAAUAACCCUAUAGAGAGGAGAAACAGGUCUCCUAAAUAACCCUAUAGAGAGGAGAAACAGGUCUCCUAAAUAACUCUAUAGAGAGGAGAAACAGGUCUCCUAAAUAACCCUAUAGAGAGGAGAAACAGGUCUCCUAAAUAACCCUAUAGAGAGGAGAAACAGGUCUCCUAAAUAACCCUAUAGAGAGGAGAAACAGGUCUCCUAAAUAACCCUAUAGAGAGGAGAAACAGGUCUCCUAAAUAACCCUAUAGAGAGGAGAAACAGGUCUCCUAAAUAACCCUAUAGAGAGGAGAAACAGGUCUCCUAAAUAACCCUAUAGAGAGGAGAAACAGGUCUCCUAAAUAACCCUAUAGAGAGGAGAAACAGGUCUCCUAAAUAACCCUAUAGAGAGGAGAAACAGGUCUCCUAAAACACUGCACAUGCCCAGAAGCUGCUGUAUGAAUUAACUAUUAAUCUCCUAUCUGCUCCUAUCUGCUCUCUCAAUCUCUGCUCACUCUCUCUUCCUCUCUCUCCCCCUCUUUCUCUCUCUUUUUAUUUUUAUAUCUAUCCUUUCAAUCUCUCUCACACACA